UACGUAGGGUGCGAGCGUUGUCCGGAAUUAUUGGGCGUAAAGAGCUCGUAGGCGGUCUGUCGCGUCUGCUGUGAAAACCCGAGGCUCAACCUCGGGCCUGCAGUGGGUACGGGCAGACUAGAGUGCGGUAGGGGAGAAUGGAAUUCCUGGUGUAGCGGUGGAAUGCGCAGAUAUCAGGAGGAACACCGAUGGCGAAGGCAGUUCUCUGGGACGGUACUGACGCUGAGACGCGAAAGCGUGGGGAGCGAACAGG
rnacentral:rRNA from 1 species